UACGGGGGGGCAAGCGCUGUUCGGAAUUACUGGGCGUAAAGGGCUCGUAGGCGGCCAACUAAGUCGGACGUGAAAUCCCUCGGCUCAACCGGGGAACUGCGUCCGAUACUGGAUGGCUUGAGUUCGGGAGAGGGAUGCGGAAUUCCAGGUGUAGCGGUGAAAUGCGUAGAUAUCUGGAGGAACACCGGUGGCGAAGGCGGCAUCCUGGACCGAUACUGACGCUGAGGAGCGGAAGCCAGGGGAGCAAACGGG
rnacentral:rRNA from 1 species